AUUGAACGCUGGCGGCAGGCCUAACACAUGCAAGUCGAACGAGUGGCGGACGGGUGAGUAAUGUAUGGGAAACUGCACGAUGGAGGGGGAUAACUAAUGGAAAAGGUAGCUAAUACCGAAUACCCUCGGAUGUGCCCAGAUGGGAUGUGCUAGUAGGUGGGGGAAAGGCUCACCUAGGCGACGGUCCCUAGCUGGGCUGAGAGGAUGACCAGCCACACCGGAACGGAGAUCCGGUCCAGUCUCCUACGGGCGGCAGCAGUGGGGAAUAUUGCACAAUGGGCGCAAGCCUGAUGCAGCCAUGCCGCGUGUAUGAAGAAGGCCUUCGGGUUGUAAAGUACUUGCAGCGGGGAGGCGUUACCCGCAGAAGAAGCACCGGCUAACUCCGUGCCAGCAGCCGCGGUAAUAC
rnacentral:rRNA from 1 species